AGAGCUGUCUACGCAACGGCCAGGGGGCAUAUGCUUCUCCUAGCACUAACACCUUCAUCCUAUUUGAGCCAGAAUGGCUUUGGUGCCCUCUCUCGCUCAUGGUGAGGCCGUGCAUGCUUGCCAUGGUUGUGGCUACGAAAUCUCAGACUGAGUCGCUUCGGUCGGGCACUAUUCAGUACAUUGGUUUUGCUCACAUCACAAAUAUCUAACAACAAGAGUGAUUACUGAAAGCAUAAAAUAUAUUGGCGACCAAACAUCAGAGGCCCAAUUAGUUACAAGACUGACUCAUUGGGGUUUCGCUUGGAGCAUUCUUGAGAUGUUCAGUGGCGUUCAGACUUGGUGUGCCAAAUCACCAGAUGAGAUUUAUCAGUCAGUUGUCCUGAAGAAAUAGAAACCGAUGUUCCUGUACAAUUUACCUACGAAGGUCGCUAAUGUCCUCUCUGGCUGCUAUGAGUAUGACUUUCGGGAUCACUCCUUGAUGUUAGAUAUCUUACAGUCAUUUGAAAGGUAACAUGCUAAAACUCUGUUUCUGCUUCUGCCUUGUUAACUUACAUAAUUUGCUUAAACUGCCAUGGAUGGGUGAUUUUACCAUAUUUCAUUUUCAUAUUUGCUUAUAUUAUAUUGUACAAACUACUAAGCAUUAUUGAAGUUUGUCACAUGAAAGCAUGGAACUGCUUUCUUAGUUGUGUCGUUUAUAGUCAUAUAUGGUCAAUGCACGUUUAUUUUCCUCCAGAGUUUACUUUUACUAUGUCCUGGUACUGGUUUUCUCUGCAGGUUUCUCUACAUUAGCUUUGUGUAUUCAAUUUUUUUGUUCCUGACAAGAAGUGCAUUGCACAUGCACACUUAUAUGAAUCAAGCCUUACAUGAUUUGCUCUUUUACUGAUGGACUGAGGAGGUCAGAGAUGUAUAACAGCCGUAUUGAUCCAAAUGACAAGUACGGCAGUGCUAACCUGCUUACCUAGAAUUUUACCACAUCCUAAGACUUGCAAAUCUGUAUAAUAGGAAUGGCUAGCUGUUUUCUGGUUUACAACCGUGACAUGUGGUGGCAUCUCUCAUCAUGUCUGCACAUAGUGUUUAGGCAUGAUUCUUGCAUACUGUCGAGACUCGAGAAGGGCGCAACAUUUUUCCUGAACUGAUUUUUAAUUUUUUUUGCUUACCGGUUGAGCUCGGUUUCAACUCUUACCUAAGUAGUUGAUAGGCAAGCCCGAUGCAGGUGUAUGGAAAUUAUGCAAUUCCAUGAGGUUUGGAGUUGUCCAGUAUACUACUGAGGCCUACAUAUUUUGCUGAUGCAGGUUGGAGGUGACACAUGAAUGCUGGCAAUGCAAAAUAGCAGAUAUAAAAUAACUGCAGCUCAGGCCAUGUAGUUCUACAACAACCAAGGAAGAAGUCCGUUUUUUAAGCCGACCUUGGCCAAGCAUUUAAGCUUAUAUGGAUGCUCUCUAUUUUUCAGAGGUGCGUGUACUGAGGACGCCCAUGAUUUAGGGCCAAAAAUCUAGACAAAGUGACAAAACUUUGUACGAGACUUACUUGAAGCCAAGGAGGUCAGGGGAGGAGGGCAACAAGGCUGGGGAGCGGAGGCAGAGGCCGACGGGGAAGAGAAUGAUCAAGCAUGUAAAUCUAGAGCACAAGCUCGUGAUUUAUCAAGGGAGUGGCGCUGCCGCCGGAUUAGAAAAUCAUAUCUCACGUUAAGGUGUUUUUGUCUUUUGUUUUUGUACAAAUUUGGUGAAGGC
rnacentral:rRNA from 1 species